rnacentral:rRNA from 1 species
AGAGUUUGAUCAUGGCUCAGAUUGAACGCUGGCGGCAGGCCUAACACAUGCAAGUCGAGCGGAUGAGAAGAGCUUGCUCUUCGAUUCAGCGGCGGACGGGUGAGUAAUGCCUAGGAAUCUGCCUGGUAGUGGGGGACAACGUUUCGAAAGGAACGCUAAUACCGCAUACGUCCUACGGGAGAAAGCAGGGGACCUUCGGGCCUUGCGCUAUCAGAUGAGCCUAGGUCGGAUUAGCUAGUUGGUGAGGUAAUGGCUCACCAAGGCGACGAUCCGUAACUGGUCUGAGAGGAUGAUCAGUCACACUGGAACUGAGACACGGUCCAGACUCCUACGGGAGGCAGCAGUGGGGAAUAUUGGACAAUGGGCGAAAGCCUGAUCCAGCCAUGCCGCGUGUGUGAAGAAGGUCUUCGGAUUGUAAAGCACUUUAAGUUGGGAGGAAGGGCAUUAACCUAAUACGUUAGUGUUUUGACGUUACCGACAGAAUAAGCACCGGCUAACUCUGUGCCAGCAGCCGCGGUAAUACAGAGGGUGCAAGCGUUAAUCGGAAUUACUGGGCGUAAAGCGCGCGUAGGUGGUUUGUUAAGUUGGAUGUGAAAGCCCCGGGCUCAACCUGGGAACUGCACCCAAAACUGGCAAGCUAGAGUACGGUAGAGGGUGGUGGAAUUUCCUGUGUAGCGGUGAAAUGCGUAGAUAUAGGAAGGAACACCAGUGGCGAAGGCGACCACCUGGACUGAUACUGACACUGAGGUGCGAAAGCGUGGGGAGCAAACAGGAUCAGAUACCCUGGUAGUCCACGCCGU